GAUACUGGAAACCGGAGCUAAUACCGGAUAAUAUAUUGAACCGCAUGGUUCAAUAGUGAAAGACGGUUUUGCUGUCACUUAUAGAUGGAUCCGCGCUGCAUUAGCUAGUUGGUAAGGUAACGGCUUACCAAGGCAACGAUGCGUAGCCGACCUGAGAGGGUGAUCGGCCACACUGGAACUGAGACACGGUCCAGACUCCUACGGGAGGCAGCAGCC
rnacentral:rRNA from 1 species